GUGGCAGGGGCGGCGGUAAUACGGGGGGAGCAAGCGUUGUUCGGAAUCACUGGGCGUAAAGGGUGUGUAGGCGGGCAGGUAAGUCGGCCGUGAAAACUCCAGGCUUAACCUGGAGCCUGCGUUCGAAACUACUUGUCUUGAGUACGGGAGAGGAAAGUGGAAUUCCUGGUGUAGCGGUGAAAUGCGUAGAUAUCAGGAGGAACACCGGUGGCGAAGGCGGCUUUCUAGCCCGAUACUGACGCUGAGACACGAAGGCUAGGGGAGCAAACAGGAUUAGAUACCCUGGUAGUCCUAGCGGUAAACGUUGGGCACUAGGUGUUGUCCCUUAACCGGGGCAGUGCCGCAGUUAACGCACUAAGUGCCCCGCCUGGGGAGUACGACCGCAAGGUUGAAACUCAAAGGAAUUGACGGGGGCCCGCACAAGCGGUGGAGUAUGUGGUUUAAUUCGACGCAACGCGAAGAACCUUACCUGGGCUUGACAUGCACCGGACAGCUCAAGAGAUUGAGUCUCCCAGCGAUGGGCCGGUGUGCAGGUGCUGCAUGGCUGUCGUCAGCUCGUGCCGUGAGGUGUUGGGUUAAGUCCCGCAACGAGCGCAACCCCUGUCCUUAGUUGCCACCCCCGAGUAAUCGGGGAGCACUCUAGGGAGACUGCCAGUCAUAAGCUGGAGGAAGGUGGGGAUGACGUCAAGUCCUCAUGGCCCUUAUGUCCAGGGCUACACACGUACUACAAUGGCCGGUACAGCAGGUUGCAAUACCGCGAGGUGGAGCCAAUCCUCAAAACCGGCCUCAGUUCAGAUUGAAGUCUGCAACCCGACUUCAUGAAGGUGGAAUCGCUAGUAAUCGCGGAUCAGCAGGUCGCGGUGAAUACGUUCCCGGGCCUUGUACACACCGCCCGUCAAGCCAUGGAAGCCGGAAGUACCCGAAGUCGUUUCUCUAACCUUUCGGGGAGGAGGGCGCCUAAGGUAAAGUCGGUGACUGGGGCUAAGUCGUAACAAGGUAACC
rnacentral:rRNA from 1 species